CGGGGGGCGGGCAGCGCAGGACGUGCGGUUCCCAAACGGCCUUUUAACAACGUCACCUGUCUGCCCCUUACACAGAGGGAGACGAGUCUGUGGUGGCUCCACGGGAUUAAGAGGACUGAAAAGCAACUUCUGGAAAGAAUGCUACACAGGCAUUUAUUCUGGAGACCAGGAUUAUAAUAUAUGAGAAAAAUAUAUUUUGGG
rnacentral:lncRNA from 1 species